rnacentral:rRNA from 1 species
UACGUAGGGUGCAAGCGUUGUCCGGAAUUAUUGGGCGUAAAGAGCUCGUAGGCGGCUUGUCGCGUCGGCUGUGAAAACCUGGGGCUCAACCCCGGGCCUGCAGCCGAUACGGGCAAGCUAGAAUUCGGUAGGGGAGACUGGAAUUCCUGGUGUAGCGGUGAAAUGCGCAGAUAUCAGGAGGAACACCGGUGGCGAAGGCGGGUCUCUGGGCCGGUAUUGACGCUGAGGCGCGAAAGCCAGGGGAGCAAACGGG